UCAUUUAAUUCCCACUACCCGUUUAGGAGGAAUAAAAUAUCAAAGUUAGGCCUGUUUUUCGACCGUUUAGGUUGGUGUAACCCCUUAAUAGUGAAGGGGAUAGUAGGCGUCACUUUAGAAAAAAUCAGUCCGAAAGUUGCCUAAUUCCUAGCAUUGCUUUAGCGGAAUGCAAGGUAAUGCAAGGAAUAAUAAUAUAACACGGCUUUUAAGCAUCAGGAAUUUGAAGUAUUAAUGUAUCAUAAAAAUAUAACGUUUUUACUAAAUAUUCUCUUUAAAUUGUGUUUAAUGUAUUGUUACUGAUUUAUAAUGGUAUACUUAUAGCUGUGAUAAUUAGUGAGUAUUUACUGUCUUAUAUUUUUACCUCAGAAUUAGUUUAUAAUUAUUUUAUUGAUUGACAAGUUAUAAGUAACCACUGAAAAUUAGUAUAUUUUUAUUGAUUUUACUGAAUAAAAUUUAAAGAGUAAUUUACCAAAAUACAAUUUUAUAAAUGAUUUUUAAUAAUAAAUUAUACAUUGUGUGUGUGUGUGUGUGUGUGUGUGUGUGUGUGUGUGUGUGUGUGUGUGUGUGUGUGUGUGUGUGUGUUAUUAUGUAUACACUAAAACGCUGCGUUAAUCAACUUCGUGUUAGUAGAAAUAAUUUCCUCUAUAUGCACUCGGCGCAGAUGAACGUAAGUGGGGGAUAGCAAUGCAAUCGCGUAAUAAAUAAUUUUCGUAGUUACAUGUUCACGUAUAUUAAGAUUUGUACGAGAUUGUGAUCUAAUCAAUUUAUUUAAAAAAUAGCUAAUAUUUUAGAAAAAUAAAGACGGAUAUGCAUAGCAUAAAAAUAAAGUUUGCGAUUAAAGGUGAAUUUUGUUUAAUAUUUUAUAUAUAUAUAAUGUUUAUAAAUUUUAAAUACAUUUUUCAGUUUUAUAAAUUAUGUGCCGAAUACAUUUAAUAUUGAAGCAUAAUUAUAUACUGGCUAGAUGACUGCCGCAAUAGGAGAUCAUCCCUCAGCUAUUUAAACCUGGAAGCCGACAAAAAUUAAAAAUUAGUAAUACAACUCAUUCAUACUUUGUCUAUAGCCGUGUGUACAAACAAAAUAAAAGAUGGUACAAACAGGUACAUACGAAAUAUAAACGAGUUGUGUUAUUAAUUUUUAAUUUUUGUAAAGUCGGGUUCAUAUAGCUGAUCACGCCGCGUUAGUAGACUAGAGCUUCAAACUAACGCAGAGUUUCAGUGUACAGGUAAGUCAAAUAGAUGAAUUUAGAAUCAGUGAUAGACUAAAAUGGAAAAAUAAUUAUAUAUUUAUGUAAUUUACUCACACAUACAAGCCUUAGGAACGUAUUCUCUAAAUUACCAUUAAUAAAAAAAUCAGUAAAAUUAAUGAAAAUACAUUAUCUUUCAGUGAUAUACUUAUAACAUGUUAAUUAUUGAAAAAGAUGCACUGGUCUUUUAGUGAUUACAUACUAAUUCUGAAGUAAAAAUUACUAAAGGACAAUGAAUACUCACUAAUUAUCACAAUUAUAAGUAUACCAUUGCAAAUUAGUCAUACAAUGAUUGUAGUUUCGAGAGUACUGAUACCAAAUAUGUUAAAUUAAUUAUAAAAUACAUAAAAACUUAGAAAAAAUUUUACCUUAUCUAGCACACUACGUAACAAGGAAUUAAGACGUUUUGUGAUUCGAUUUUGAACUAUAUAUUGUCUAGGUUACGGACAUGAAUUUAAAAGUGAACGUAAUAUUAUUAUAACAUGGGUAUUGUAUAUGAAUUGUAUAUUGUAUGAGAAUUUAAAUUGUAACCUCAAGGGGAUCAAUAAAUUAUUAUUAUUAUUGUAUAACUACUAUUACUAUUAUAACAUGGUAUUUUAAUUAUUACUAUUGUAACAUGGUAUUUUGAUCGUUUUGCUACUAUUCGACAUAUUGGGUUUUCGUAUUACCUUGAAGUAAUGAAAUAUUUUUAUGGGCUAAAAGAAAAGGCUCAAUGCUCUAACCGAUAGAUGUUUUAUGUUGACAAUGCGCUUGCAUAUUCAUCGUUAUUAAUCCGCCAGUUUUUAAGCGAAACAUAAGACAAGAGUCGUUCCGUACUCUUCUUACUCGUCUGAUUUGACACCAGCGAAUUUUUUUUCUCUAAAUUAUAAAUACCGUUGAAAGACCAACGUUCUAAAUUGAUUACAUUGAUAAAGAAAAAUUCGCUAGCGCAGCUGCACAGUAUCCUAAAUGAAGUGUUCCAGAAAUGUUUUGAAAAAUGAAAGAAACUUUGGAGACAACGUAUUCAAAAUGAAGGGAGACUACUUUACAGGCGAGAAGGCCGAAUAGCUUCUACAGUAGACGAACAAUUUUCUUUUUUAAAAAGCUCGAGAAUUUACCGAACAGAUCUCGUAUUUUCAAACAAAAUCCCUUAAUGUAUCAGUAAUAGUAUAUUUAUUCUAUUAUUUUUAUUGAUAGAUGUUAUUACAAGUUCAAGAAUAGUAAAAGGUAAUGAAAAUAAUGUAAAAAGAGAAAAUAAAUUGUAUUUUUUUGCGUUUUAUAUUUGAAUGGAUUUUUCAAACAUUAGCAUAAAUUAUUUAAAAAAUAAUAAAUACGAAUGAAAAGUAUUUUUUAUUUCAACUAUGUACAUUCUACAACAAUUAUCAAAAACUGAGAAAAUACCUUGAAAAUAGUUACAUCAUGGGAAUAAACUGUAAGCAAUUAUAAACAGAUAAAGAUAUAUACGUAGUUAUCGUGGAAAAUUUGUGAUAAAGCUAUUUGAUUCUGUGAUGUUACUGCGCUAUUAAUCAUAUCUUACAGUG